rnacentral:rRNA from 1 species
GCCCAGACUCCUACGGGAGGCAGCAGUGGGGGAUAUUGCACAAUGGGGGAACCCCUGAUGCAGCGACGCCCCGUGAGUGAAGAAGUAUUUCGGUAUGUAAAGCUCUAUCAGCAGGGACGAAAAAGACGGUACCUGAGUAAGAAGCCCCGGCUCACUACGUGCCAGCAGCCGCGGUAAUACGUAGGGGGCAAGCGUUAUCCGGAUUUACUGGGUGUAAAGGGAGCGUAGACGGUUAUGCAAGUCUGGAGUGAAAGGCGGGGGCGUAACCCCCGGACUGCUCUGGAAACUGUAUAACUGGAGUGCAGGAGAGGGAAGUGGAAUUCCGAGUGUAGCGGUGAAAGGCGUAGAUAUGUGUAGGAACACCAGUGUCGAAGGCGGCUGACUGGACUGUAACUGACGUUGAGGCUCGAAAGCGUGGGGAGCAAACAGGAUUAGAUACCCUCGUAA